AUCAACUUUCGAUGGUAGGAUAGAGGCCUACCAUGGUGGUAACGGGUAACGGGGUGUUAGGGCACGACACCGGAGAGGGAGCCUGAGAAACGGCUACCACAUCCAAGGAUGGCAGCAGGCGCGCAAAUUACCCAAUCCCGACACGGGGAGGUAGUGACAAUAAAUAACAAUACGGGGUUCUAAAGGAUUUCGUAAUUGGAAUGAGUACAAUUUAAAUCUCUUAACGAUCAACAAUUGGAGGGCAAGUCUGGUGCCAGCAGCCGCGGUAAUUCCAGCUCCAAUAGCGUAUAUUAAAGUUGUUGCAGUUAAAAAGCUCGUAGUUGAAUUUCGGGGUUAGUAGGUUGGUCAUGCCUCUGGUAUGUACUGAUCUCACUGAUUCCUCCCUCUUGACGAACUGUAAUGUCAUUAAUUUGGUGUUCCAGGAAAUCAGGACUGUUACUUUGAAAAAAUUAGAGUGUUUAAAGCAGGCUUAGGCUUGAAUACAUUAGCAUGGAAUAAUGAAAUAGGACGUUUGAACCUAUUUUGUUGGUUUCUAGGAUCGACGUAAUGAUUAAUAGGGAUAGUUGGGGGCAUUAGUAUUCAAUUGUCAGAGGUGAAAUUCUUGGAUUUAUUGAAGACUAACUACUGCGAAAGCAUUUGCCAAGGAUGUUUUCAUUAAUCAAGAACGAAAGUUAGGGGAUCGAAGACGAUCAGAUACCGUCGUAGUCUUAACCAUAAACUAUGCCGACUAGGGAUCGGAUGAUGUUAAUUUUUUAAUGACUCAUUCGGCGCCUUACGGGAAACCAAAGUGUUUGGGUUC
rnacentral:rRNA from 1 species